rnacentral:rRNA from 1 species
UACGUAGGGGCCUAGCGUUGUCCGGAAUCAUUGGGCGUAAAGAGCGUGUAGGCGGCCACUUAAGUCCUGCGUGAAAUCUUGCGGCUCAACCGCAAGCGGUCGUGGGAAACUGGGAGGCUUGAGGCCGGUAGAGGUGGGUGGAACUCCUGGUGGAGUGGUGAAAUGCGUAGAGAUCAGGAAGAACACCCGUGGCGAAGGCGGCCCACUGGGCCGGUACUGACGCUGAGGCACGAAGGCGUGGGGAGCGAACGGG